GUCCUGGAAGCUCCCGAGGCCAAGAGAGCUGAUCUCGGGGCUGGGGUCACAGGGCUCCACUCCUGUGAUCUCUAGGGUCCCAGAGCCGGGAGGAGAGACUGGGUGCCUUUCGUCACCUCUGGGGUGGGCAGAGGCUCAGCCUGUGCCACAAGGCAAAAGCUGCUUCUGUGCAGUCCGAGCCGCGCCCCUUUAAGAGGGGUGUUGCUUCAGCCAAUCGCUAGGGACGCUGCCGGCGUGCGAGCCUCUACGGAAGCUGAGAGGGCGCCUCCGGCAGGCCCCCGCAGAAGCCAUGGCGUCGUUGAAGCAAGCGGAAGCCGUGGCGGUGUGGUCGGAGAGAGCAAAAGCGGCGGCCAGAGGUGCGGCGCGGUCCGGUGGAGCAGAAAGGAGUCUUGUCCCGGGAACAGAAGCUGCGACGUCCAGAAGUGGUGGCGCGGUCCCAGCGAGCUUCUGAGCAGCGUGUGGCUUCCACGUGAUGGGGGAGCAGGAGGCAGGUCUCCGCGGUUCAUCUCGGUUGCUCCACAUGACACUGUUUCAUCAUUUUGGUGUCCGAAGAAUAUUCCCUAGUGUAUGCAUACGAGAGUUUCUUGAUCCCUCUGUGGAUGGACAGCAUCAUUUCAGGAUGAGCAUUUCGUGUCAAGUGGAUUCAAGGAACAGUGUAAAGGAUCCAUGGCCUCAGUCACCAUGAAGACCCUCCCAAGAGCCAACGUCCUGGGCCCAUAUAAAUGAAUGGAGACAUGGAACUCACCCUUACAAGGCCUAGAACCUGACAGAGCAUGCGAGACAGAAGCCCAAAUAACUAAGAACAGGAAGCUAAAGGUGAGAGGUGGGCCCCAAAGGAUUCUGUGAAAUGCUUUGUGUUUGUGGAUUUAUCACGCAGAAUGAUAGCUUUGUUUUUAUUCACAAGUUAGACACGCUCUCUAUAUAGAAUCUAUGAAAGGACAUUUCUGAGUUUUUUGAGGCCUGUAGUGAAAAAUAGAAUAUCUCAGGCAGCUCAGGAUGAAUAAUGCAGUCACCAAGAGGGUCAGGGUUGCCACAGGUGGCCAGCAGCAGGGUUGGGCAUCUUGAGCCAUUAGAUGGGUUUGUGGGAAGUGGCAUUGUGAGCCACUGGCCUGAUGUUGUUGUUUCCUGGUAACCAGGUGACAUAGGAGGCUUUGUAACAUCA
rnacentral:lncRNA from 1 species